rnacentral:rRNA from 1 species
AGUCGAACGGUAACAGGAAGCAGCUUGCUGCGUCGCUGACGAGUGGCGGACGGGUGAGUAAUGUCUGGGAAACUGCCUGAUGGAGGGGGAUAACUACUGGAAACGGUAGCUAAUACCGCAUAACGUCGCAAGACCAAAGAGGGGGACCUUCGGGCCUCUUGCCAUCGGAUGUGCCCAGAUGGGAUUAGCUAGUAGGUGGGGUAACGGCUCACCUAGGCGACGAUCCCUAGCUGGUCUGAGAGGAUGACCAGCCACACUGGAACUGAGACACGGUCCAGACUCCUACGGGAGGCAGCAGUGGGGAAUAUUGCACAAUGGGCGCAAGCCUGAUGCAGCCAUGCCGCGUGUAUGAAGAAGGCCUUCGGGUUGUAAAGUACUUUCAGCGGGGAGGAAGGCGACAGGGUUAAUAACCCUGUCGAUUGACGUUACCCGCAGAAGAAGCACCGGCUAACUCCGUGCCAGCAGCCGCGGUAAUACGGAGGGUGCAAGCGUUAAUCGGAAUUACUGGGCGUAAAGCGCACGCAGGCGGUCUGUCAAGUCGGAUGUGAAAUCCCCGGGCUCAACCUGGGAACUGCAUUCGAAACUGGCAGGCUAGAGUCUUGUAGAGGGGGGUAGAAUUCCAGGUGUAGCGGUGAAAUGCGUAGAGAUCUGGAGGAAUACCGGUGGCGAAGG